AACAGGGAUUGCCUUAGUAACGGCGAGUGAAGCGGCAAUAGCUCAAAUUUGAAAUCUGGCUUCUUUGGAAGUCCGAGUUGUAAUUUGCAGAGGGCGCUUUGGCGUCGGUAGCGGUCUAAGUUCCUUGGAACAGGACGUCACAGAGGGUGAGAAUCCCGUACGUGGUCGACUGCCUUCGCCGUGUAAAGCCCCUUCGACGAGUCGAGUUGUUUGGGAAUGCAGCUCUAAAUGGGAGGUAAAUUUCUUCUAAAGCUAAAUACCGGCCAGAGACCGAUAGCGCACAAGUAGAGUGAUCGAAAGAUGAAAAGCACUUUGGAAAGAGAGUCAAACAGCACGUGAAAUUGUUGAAAGGGAAGCGCUUGCCGCCAGACGUGCCCGUGGUGGUUCUCCUCCGCGGGCAGGCCAGCAUCAGUUUGGGCGAUCGGAUAAAGGCCUCUGUCAUGUAUCUCCCUUCGGGGUGACCUUAUAGGGGAGGCGUAACGCGAUCAGCCUGGACUGAGGUCCGCGCAUCUGCUAGGAUGCUGGCGUAAUGGCUGCAAGCGGCCCGUCUUGAAACACGGACCAAGGAGUCUAACAUCUAUGCGAGUGUUUGGGUGUCAAGCCCGAGCGCGUAAUGAAAGUGAACGGAGGUGGGAACCCUUUGGGUGCACCAUCGACCGAUCCUGAAGUCUUCGGAUGGAUUUGAGUAAGAGCAUGGCUGUUGGGACCCGAAAGAUGGUGAACUAUGCUUGAAUAGGGUGAAGCCAGAGGAAACUCUGGUGGAGGCUCGCAGCGGUUCUGACGUGCAAAUCGAUCGUCAAAUUUGGGCAUAGGGGCGAAAGACUAAUCGAACU
rnacentral:rRNA from 1 species